CACCAAAAAACAAACCCUAAUCCUUAUUCUCAAGACAUCAGCUGCCCUUUUUCCUCUUCUCUCUUCUUUCUCUCUCUAUCCCUCUUUUCUCUCUUCUCUCUAAAUGAAACCAACACCAGAAGUCAUGCAAAAACGGUCAUCAUCCUUCCGUUAACCAAUACCAGCGCCACUUCUUCUCUCUCCACCGCCGGCAGACAUCUCCAAUCGGAGAACUCCCUCAGUUCACCACGCCACCUCCAGCCGCCCCUAAAUCCACCAUGAACCACCAGCGAACAGCGACGCCAUUGCUUUCUCUCCUUCGCUAGGGCCGCCCUCCGGCGCCUCUCCGUUCUCCUCUCCGCCUUUACCCACUAGCCACCGGAGAAGCGAGCAACGUCGUUGCCACUCCAGCCCCGUUAGACGCCCCAGCCACCACAACUACGAUCCCGCUGGUCACCUCACUGCCCAACCAACAGUCACCCGCUGGAGACUCCCAUCCCCCGUUCGUCGUCUCUUCUCCAAUCAACAAUGAUAAAAUUCUUCAAGUCCAUGAAGGAUUCACAUUUAGGAUGUGAAUCCUCCUCAGGGACAAGUAAUUUCAUGAUGGGAAUUGUUAGCCAUGAGAAGAUUGAAGAUAUUUUGUGAUUUUCAUUCUCAUAUGUAUAUCACACUGAUUUGUUACCCAUUAAAAACUAUAUAAUUUUCUUGUGGAGAAAUAUAUUUUAAUAUCGUCUUUGUACCUUUAA